rnacentral:rRNA from 1 species
GACGAACGCUGGCGGCGUGCUUAACACAUGCAAGUGGAGCGACGAACCAGGCUUCGGUCUGGGGCAAAGCCGCGAACGGGUGAGUAACACGUGGGUAACCUGCCCCGAAGACCGGGACAACCCGGGGAAACCCGGGCUAAUACCGGAUGUGGUCACUCUUCGCAAGGAGAGCGAACAAAGGGAGCUUCGGCCCCCGCUUCGGGAUGGGCCCGCGGCCCAUUAGCUUGUUGGUGAGGUAACGGCUCACCAAGGCGACGAUGGGUAGCUGGUCUGAGAGGACGAUCAGCCACACUGGGACUGAGACACGGCCCAGACUCCUACGGGAGGCAGCAGUGGGGAAUCUUGCGCAAUGCGCGACAGCGUGACGCAGCAACGCCGCGUGGGGGAAGAAGGCCUUCGGGUCGUAAACCGCUUUCAGCAGGGACGAGAGUGACGGUACCUGCAGAAGAAGCUCCGGCUAAAUACAUG